rnacentral:rRNA from 1 species
UACGUAGGGGGCUAGCGUUGUCCGGAUUUAUUGGGCGUAAAGAGCGUGUAGGCGGCCAAGUAGGUCCGGUGUGAAAACUCGAGGCUUAACCUCGAGAUGUCAUCGGAAACCAUUUGGCUAGAGUCCGGAAGAGGUGAGUGGAACUGCGAGUGUAGAGGUGAAAUUCGUAGAUAUUCGCAAGAACACCAGUGGCGAAGGCGGCUCACUGGUCCGGUACUGACGCUGAGGUGCGAAAGCGUGGGGAGCAAACAGG